rnacentral:rRNA from 1 species
GACGAACGCUGGCGGCGUGCUUAACACAUGCAAGUCGAACGAAGAGCGAUGGAAUCUUGCUUCUAUCAAUCUUAGUGGCGAACGGGUGAGUAACGCGUAAUCAACCUGCCCUUCAGAGGGGGACAACAGUUGGAAACGACUGCUAAUACCGCAUACGAUCUAAUCUCGGCAUCGAGGAUAGAUGAAAGGUGGCCUCUACAUGUAAGCUAUCACUGAAGGAGGGGAUUGCGUCUGAUUAGCUAGUUGGAGGGGUAACGGCCCACCAAGGCGAUGAUCAGUAGCAGGUCGGAGAGGAUGAACGGCCACAUUGGGACUGAGAUACGGCCCAGACUCCUACGGGAGGCAGCAGUGGGGAAUCGUCCGCAAUGGACGAAAGUCUGACGGAGCAACGCCGCGUGAGCGAUGACGGCCUUCGGGUUGUAAAGCUCUGUUAAUCGGGACGAAAGGCCUUCUUGCGAAUAGUGAGAAGGAUUGACGGUACCGGAAUAGAAAGCCACGGCUAACUACGUG